rnacentral:rRNA from 1 species
CAAUAGCGUAUAUUAAAGUUGUUGCGGUUAAAAAGCUCGUAGUUGGAUUUCUGCCGAGGACGACCGGUCCGCCCUCUGGGUGAGUAUCUGGCUCGACCUGGGCAUCCUUCCAGAGAAUGUGUCUGCUCUUGACUGAGUGGUGCAGUAUCUGGAACUUUUACUUUGAGGAAAUUAGAGUGUUUCAAGCAGGCAUACGCCUUGAAUACAUUAGCAUGGAAUAAUAAGAUAGGACUUUGGUGGUCUAUUUUGUUGGUUUGCACACCAAGGUAAUGAUUAAUAGGGAUAGUUGGGGGUAUUCGUAUUUAAUUGUCAGAGGUGAAAUUCUUGGAUUUAUGAAAGACGAACUACUGCGAAAGCAUUUACCAAAGAUGUUUUCAUUAAUCAAGAACGAAAGUUAGGGGAUCGAAGACGAUUAGAUACCAU